ACCCGCACAAGCGGUGGAUCAUGUUGUUUAAUUCGAUGAUACGCGAAGAACCUUACCAGGUCUUGACAUCCCCGCAAUGCUAUGGAGACAUAGCGGAGGUAUUCGGGGAGACAGGUGGGUGCAUGGUUGUCGUCAGCUCGUGUCGUGAGAUGUUGGGUUAAGUCCCGCAACGAGCGCAACCCUCGACCUUAGUUGCCAGCAUUCAGUUGGGCACUCUAAGGUGACUGCCGGCUAAAAGUCGGAGGAAGGUGGGGAUGACGUCAAAUCAUCAUGCCCCUUAUGACCUGGGCUACACACGUGCUACAAUGGGCGGUACAAAGGGUCGCGAACCCGCGAGGGGGAGCCAAUCCCAAAAAGCCGCUCUCAGUUCGGAUUGCAGGCUGCAACUCGCCUGCAUGAAGCCGGAAUCGCUAGUAAUCGCGGAUCAGCAUGCCGCGGUGAAUACGUUCCCGGGCCUU
rnacentral:rRNA from 1 species